CUUUGUUCAUUCCACUCGUCGAUUUGUUGUUGUGACUUGUGAGAUUCGGUUUCUAUGAUAUAGGGCUGAGAUGAUGAAGCUGAGGCUUGAGAGGUUGUGGCGGUCGAGGUUUUCUGGUUCUUCUUCUUCUUAGUCGUCUCUCUCUCUCUUUUGGUUCCUCUCCUUCGUCUUCAUGGUGGUGCUUCAUCUUUCCCUUUCAAGUUGUGACGUGUGAGAUACGGUCAGAUGAUCUAGGGUUAGAUAUGAAGCAGAGCGAUCAAACGUGGCUGUCGAAGCUUUUGGUUCCCCUUCUUCUUCUUCGUCGUCGUCUCCCUCUCUCUCUGUUUUGGUUCCUCUUCGUCUUCAUGGUGGUGCUCUUGCUUCCUCUUUCUCCUUCAAGCUACAGAAACAAGGCAGACCAUGGAUGGAGGUUUCAGCACAAAGACCAGCAGAGUCUGCAAUUUUUGCUGCGUUAGAUGUAGAGCAUCACAGAUCAACAACGCCAAGUUUCAGUCAAGGAUUCGCUAAAGGAUCGGCAAAGAUGACGACGAUGGUCUAGUUGGCUGGUCACUGACAACGUUGGUUGUUUAUUCUUGAUAGAUUUGUCACUAUGAUGUUCUCUAUUACUAUGAAGAUUUGAUCAAGAGGACUUCCUCACAGUUUUCAAAAAGAAGAUGGAUCAUCAUGGAGCAUCAGCAUUACUACAUUUAUAACCGAGGGUGAAUACUCAUCAAGGUUCGAUGGUACUUACGAUUUCACAGGUAUAUUCUUAACUUUUCUAAUUUUUUUAAAUUAAAAAUAAAUUAAG